ensembl:antisense Gm44646 predicted gene 44646
UACAGACUCUGGAAAGAUGGACACAUGAUAAUUUGAGCAACAGUUCUUUAUCACAGUGAUCAUUCUGGAAAGAUGACUGCCAUCCCAAGAGUUGCAGCGCUGGUGUCCGGGUUCUGAUGACUUAUUUAGCAGGCACUGCUAUUUUGGGGACAGACCCGAUGAUGACUUCCCACCCAGGGCCCUGGGACUGUCUGCUCCCUCUCCCAACCCUGCAGUUCCUGCCUGUCCCACCCUUCCCUGGCCAGCUGCAUCCCGGCCAGGGAUGUCUCUCUUACUGUCUUAGCCCUGCCUCUCGUUCUCUGUCACGCUUAUCACCAUUCACGGUUUUAUAUCACUUGUGAGACUUGAGACCAGUGUCAUUCUUCCUCCAACACAAAGGAACUUCUUUGUCCCAUUUGUGAAGCACAAAUAAAGUUCAGGA